GAGCACACUGAUUUCCUGGCG
rnacentral:siRNA from 1 species